GUGGGGGUGGGGGGGGGGGGGUGAGAGAAAACACAGAGCAGAAAGAACAAACAUUACCUUGAGCCAAAGGCGAAUCGUCUGGAACAAAGACAGGACGGGGAAGAGAAAGAAAACUUGAAGGCAGCCGCGGAUCUUCCAAAAUAAAGGUUAAAUCGUCCCGGAGAGUUAUGCGAAGUGAGCCAGCCGCAGACGCCCAGGAGUCAAUUUCCAAUGCUUGCCGUUCUUUGAUUGUCAAUCAUUUAUGCCAACAUUUAACAUAUUACAAAUAUUGGUGAAAUAAUACAUCCGGAUCAACAAACCACCGUCUGAAGGAACAGCGCGGUUCCAACAGCGUCUGCGGUGCGUAGGGGUGCAGAGGAAGAACGUCGACAUUUUGGGUUGAAAUCCUGCGUCCGGACUGUCCUGAUGCAAAACUUUGACAGUCACAAUGUGUCUGGAUAAAUGGAUUAACUCAGCACUUGAUAAACUCAAUCAUCAUUACAACAACUGUUUCAAAUGAGCCUCUCUGGAGAGAAGAGACCUGGGUCCUGAGGUGUUUCACAGUAGAUCAAUGAAAAACCAUACAGAAAGGCUGACAAACAACCUUUGUGCAACAGAAGACAAUCUGCGAAAUACAAUAAUAAUACAUGAAUAGAUAAUACUGAGAACAUGAUCUGUAAAGCCCUUGAAAGUGAGUCCAUAGGUUGUGGAAUCAGUUCAGAGUUGAGGAACCAGAAGGAAGUCCUGCUAAAGGUCAUUGCCCGAGAUGUCGACUGUACUCUUUUCCAUAGAUGCUGCCUGGCCUGCUGAGUUCCUCCAGCAUUUUGUGGGUGUUGCUAAGAAGUUCUAAGAGCCUGCUGGAGGCAAAUAUAUGCCUUUUUGAAGUAUAUUUAAACCUAGGUUCAUUGCAGGACUUGCCUCUGUCAGAAACCUACUCACCCUGAACACUCAAGAACAAUAACCUAAGCUGAUCAGCCAAUGAACACUGAUGGAUCAGAGAUGCUGUUUUUCAGAUGAAUUGCCAAAUCAGUGAUAGAUCCAUGUCACAAUCGCAAUGAGGAUUAUCGUAUCCUGACACACCUUUCCAUCGUCUUUCAUUCAAGCAACAAUACAACAACAGAUUGUUAUUUUGGGGAGCUUGACACUAUCACACUGUUAUCCUGAGUGAGGGGCAUUUGAAAUUGGCUACAAUACAUACAGUGUGCUAGAGGAGCUCAGCAGGUCAGGCGGCAUCUGUGGACGGGAAUAAAGAGUCGACGUUUCGAGCCAAGAUCCUUCAUCAGGAGUGGAGAGGAAGGGGGGAAGAAGACAGAAGUCAGAGUCAUUGGUUGCAGCCUUAAAUAUCUCAUCAGCUGGGACAUCCCGAAGGAGACUUGACUGGAGUUAAAUAAUAAAAGAUAUCUGCAUUUCUUUCACUUCAGUGGUCCAAUAUAUAUAAUUAAAGGGGAUGGUUACAAUUAAGUUAGGAGAUUAGUUUUUAUAAAUAAAUUGCUCAGAUUUGCACAUCUUUGAAAAAAAACAUAUUACAUUGCAAGCAACAAAGUAGUGCUAUUUACCCUGCAGAGAUGAUAAACGUAGACCACUGUUAGUUCACACAGGACAACCUGCUCAGGACUGCAGGAGAAUGCUGUUGGUCAAUUUGCUGCCUCAUAUCUCCAGCAAAGCAGGCUUGAUCCUGACCUUGCGUUAAUCUCAGGGUGCAGUUUGUAUUUUCUCCCUGUAGUUUUCCCCCAGACUCUCCAGCUUCCCUCCACAUUCCAAAAACAUGCUGAUCAUAAGGUAAAUAGAAUACAAUAAAUGACUCCGUGUGUAGGUGGGUGGUAGGAAAAUCAGAAUAAAGUUAAUGGACACGUAAAAGAGAAUAGAUUACAGAGAUAUGUGUGGGAGUUGGGAAUGUGUUAGGAGCUAGCAUGGUCUUGAGGAAAGGAGUGGCCUCAUUCUAUAUCACAUUUAUCUGAUGAUCAUGAGGCCUAAGUUCAAAUCUAACCCAUGCAUGUAGGAUAUUUACAUGUAUUUACUUAAGAUAACUCUGGAAUUUAUCUAAACAAAUCUAGUUUCAUUACUGGUAACUGUGAAAUUGUGGACUGUUCUUUAGAAUACAGUGGUUCACCCUGGUGCAUUUGACAGGAAAUUUGCCAUCCUUAGCUGGUUUGGCCUACACGUGAUUGUAGAGCCACACAACUUUGAGUUGCCCUCUGAACUUUUCCUCCAACCCAUUCAUUUCGAGGGUGCUUUGGGAUCAGCAGUAAAUGCCUUCUUGCUAGUGACAGCCAGAUCUUGCAAGUGAAUAACAAAAAAAAUCUGCUUUAGUAAAUGGAUUGAUCAUUAUUAUUACAUGAAAUGAAUAUAGAAUACGCUAAAAUACCCAGCAGAUCGGGCAGAGACAGAAACACAGUUAAUGCUCCAGGUCAGUGACCUUAUCAGAAUUUUAACAGUCAUUCUGAUUUUAACCACAGUCAACCUGAUCAGGAGAAGUGAGAGGGGCUGAAUCCAUGGAAAAGUAUCUUUUAUAUUCCUGCUUGAUAAUCAGGAGGAGCAAGAAGGUUUCCUCCAUUCCAAACAAGCUGCCUAUUAAAUUUGUCUUCCCCCCCCCCCCAUCCCUCAAAUCACCAAUCCAUCCACAAUCACUGUUGUAGUACAUGCCUAAAGCCGAACUUCCCCAAAACAGGGCUCUCCACAAACCCAUUAUUACUGCAGAACCUCCUCCCUUCUAGACCAUCCCACCAUCACCACCUCACUCACUCCUGCUACAGGCUUCAAAGAGACAUAUUGAAAUCAGCUUUAUGUGUCACUUGUACAUUGAAAUAGCGAAACAUAUGGUUGGAAUGCGCUGUUUGCAUCUCAUGUCAAAUCAGCGAGGAUUGCGCUGGUGGAAGUCACCAUGUUUCUGGCAUCAAAAUAACAUGCCCGUAGCAAACUAACUCCAACCCAUACAUCUUUCACAUGUGGGAGGAAACCGGAGCACCCGGAGGAAAUUCAUGCAGAGAACAUACAAACACUUUACUGAUAAAGAUGAGAAUGAAAGCCUAAUCAGUGAUUGCUGGCACUGUAAAGCGAUUGUGCUAACUGCUACACACUACACUAUCAUGCCAUUCUUUCUCCUUGUGGAACAAGCUUCUUGCCCUAAUGCCCCCAUACCAGCCAAUCAAACACCCUGGGAGUGAAGCGCCACUGAAAGGAGGCUGGCUGUCGGAGUUUGAGGUGCAUACAGGAUCGCCAGCCUCACAAACCAUUCCAUACAGAACUCACAUCCAUGCAAAAGGCCUGGCAUUUGUUUUAGUAAUAUUCUCCAAAUAACUGACCGAUACUUUCUCACAUCUCUUAUUAAGGGGAAGCAAUUUCUCCCUGUAGAAUAUCUACUAUUCACUGACUGAAAAUUAAGAACUUUCUUUUGGGCAAUGUAUUUCAAACAAUUAGGUCAGUAAGUAAUAAAUUUGAUGUUUAAUCUGC